AAUGAAGUUUGUGUUUGUUAUAACUGAUUUAGGUCACAUUUUGCCCCCUGUAUUCUAAACAGGCUGGGUUUUAGAGUCAGACAGACCUGGGUUCUGCCCCAGAGCCACUCCUUAAGGCUGGCUGACAUGGAGCAGAUUUCUUAACCUUCUCAAACAUAAGUCAGAAGGCGUGUGAGAGGCUCCUAAAUCCAAGCCUUAGGUGGGCUGUCCAUUGUCUCUAAAGAUACUCAGAGCAUGUGUCUUUAGAGCUCUUCGAAGAGCUGCUCCACCUUCACAGGGUUUUGUGAGGGUCAGAUGAGGACAACUCGAAGGUUCUUGGCUUAUAGUGCGCCGUAGAGGUUAGUGAUCUACCUCCCCACCCCAGUCUGUUGUGUCUGUGAGGAAGGAAAACCUGGCACGAUUCUGAUUUCAAAUAUUCUGCCCUUUUGUCAGAUCACUGUAUGACUUCCUGAUCAUAUGUGAUCAUUAGUAUUUGGUUUAGAAACCACAGCUGCUAUUGAUGCUUUGACUUCUAAAAAAGAUUUAGGGACAUUCUCUCUAAGAGACACAAAAUAGAACUAUUGAAAUAAAGACAAAACUGGAGGCAUGCUACUUUGGGGUAGAGAUCAUUGUACCAGAGUAUUUAGAUUAAUAAAUUGUUGCUGUGUCCACCCGGUGUGGGUCAGUGGUUGAACAUUGACCUAUGAACCAGGAGGUCAUGGCUCUCUUCCCAGUCAGGGCACAUGCCUGCGCGGCAGGAUCAGUCCCCAGUGUGGGGUGUUCAGGAGGCAGUGAUCGAUGAUUCCCAUCAUUGAUGUUUCUCUCUCCCUCCCUCUUCCUUCCUCUCUGAAAUCAAUAAAAAUAUUUAAAAAGAAAGUUAAUGUAAUUGAGUGCACUUAGCUGUGAAAUUCAUGGAAGCCAUGGGAAAAGGGGAAACGGGCGCCGAUGUGUGUGUUUCUCGUUCUAGAGUAAAACAGACAUGCCUUUGUAAAGCUCCAGAGACACCUUUUCCCGUAUCUUUAGAGACACUGGACAGCUUACCUUACAAGGGCUUACGUGAGCUUGGAGUUGGAAGCCUCUUGCACACCUGCUCCAUCCUCUCCCCCUUGUGAUAUAUUUGCCCUAAGUCCCUUCCUUCAAGGCUCCCUGCACCCUUAAGCCUUCUCUUGGGUCUGCCCUCCACUCUGGCCUCUUUGAGGAACUGUGUCUACCGCUCUGAUCUCUUCUCUGUUCUCUCUGGGAAUCCUUAAGUAAGAAAAGAUCUAAUGGACUAACUCAUGCGUUGACCAAAGUCCACCUCCUUUUCCUCUCACCUUGCUAACUUCUUAGCCUUCAAAUCUCAGUUAAAUGCCACCUCCUCAGGGAAGCAGUGUGUGGCCCCUAGGCUGCCUGAGGGCCUUUCCCUGUUAUUUGUCGCUAUGGCAUCUCACAUUUCUUCUUCUGUAGUUGUAUUUGUAAUUACACUUUCUCUCCUGUAUUUCAUAAAGGAUUAGGCCAUAUCGAUCUCUGUUGGAUCCCUAGAGCUUAGCACUGUGCCUGGCACUUGCUAGAUGCUUAGUAAAUAUUGACACUGGCGCCGUAAAAUGGACUGUAAAUCAUGCCAUUCUUUCCGCUUGGCAUGGGUCCUUCCAGGUGCAACAUUCCGGGCAGCCACCCCAAGCAGUUGAAGCUGGCAUCCAAGAUGAAAGCUGUUUCAUUACCUGCUUAAUGGAUUAAUGCACUGCCGGGGGGACUGGGCUUUUGUCUGUGUUUCCAUACCGCUGCCCUGAGGCGUGAUUUGGAGGGUGUUUUUCUGUUAUUUCUUUGUCAGGACAUUAUCUACUAUAACUCUCAGUGUCCCAGGUGUUUCUCAGACUUUAGUGUGCCUAAGAAUCACUGUGUGUAUGUCCUUCCAAAAUGCAGAUCCCAGGCCCCAUUGCCAGAGGUGGAGGAAGCUUUUUAAAAGCUUUUGUUCUCUUUUUAAUAAUAGACUUUAUGUUUUAGACCAAUUUUAGAUUUACAGAAAAAUUGAGCAGAUACUACAGAGAGUUUCCAUACUCUGUCCCAAAUAUACAGUUUCCCCUGUGAACAUCUUACAUAGGAACAUUUUUUAUACUUAGUGAACUAAUAUUGAUACAUUAUUAUUAAUCAAAGUCCAUCCUUCACUCAAGUUUCCUCAUUUCCUUUUUCUGUCCCAGGGUCCCAUCUAGGACAGCACAUGACAGGUAGUUGUUAUACCUCCUUAGGCUCCUCUUGGCUGUGGUCCUUUUCCAGACUUUCCUUGAGUUUGGUAGCCUCAACAAUUCGGAGGAGUGCUGGGUAGGCAUAUUGUGGGGAGCCCCUCAUUAGAAUUUCUCUUGUGCCUUUCUCAUGAUUAGACUGGGGUGAUACGUUUUAGGUAGGAAGACACAGUGAUGAAGUCCCAUGCAUCACAUAUAGAGAGGGAGAUACUAUCGCAGGACUUAUGACUGUUGAGGUGUCAUCACUAUAUAAAGUCACUCAUUUAUCCCCCCUUUCAUAUUGUCCUCUUCCCAGGAAAGUCUCUACUCACAGCCCACUCUCAGGGAGUAGGGGAGCAUGCUAAUCUGAGGAAUGCUUUCUAAAUUUUAAUAGCAAAGUCUUUAUUUUUCUGUGUAUUAGAAACAGUGUGUUAACUCCACUAAUUUUAACUGGAUUCUCCAGAAAGCUGUACCCAAGACGAAGGCUCCUGGGAGAGGAGUUUUAGAAGGCAUGUGACCUCUGGGAGCAGGAAUGGGGAGAGGGGAGUGAAGUGGAGGAGGAAGAGCCGGUACAGGUGACCAUUAUGGAAAGCACAUUCUAACCUGGCUGGGAGUUGCACCUGGGACCUGGGAGCUCACUGGAAAUUCGGCCGAUUCUCAUGGAAAGAUUAACUCAACCUUGUUGGAAAAACCAAAGCUGCCAGCCCUUUGAAGACAUCCUCCCGCCCCCACCUCCUGCCUUUGCAUACCCACAGACCUUUGCAAAUCUCCAGCCUGCAUUAUCUGUUAACUGCCCAUUUGGUAUAACCUUUAGCCUACUUCCCCACGUAAUCUUUGUUCUUCUGCCCAAUAAAAGCAGCUGGUUUAUGGGGAGAGGCAGAGCAGAUGUUUGUGGAUGACCUGCUGCUCCCAUACUGCCUGCAGUAUUGGAAUAAAUGCUCAUAUAGGAUUCAACCCUGUCUCUGCUUAACUGACUCAAGUAGUGACAGACAGCAUGGACCCAUUGAUCAUUACUCACUGCUUCUUGCUGGAAAGUUUUCUAUGCUUCUAGGUUGAAUUCACUUGUGUUUUUUCUGGUACUUGCUUACAUAGUGGGGUGUUUGUUUGUUUGUUUGUUUGUUUGUUUUCCUGAUCCUUGUGGAAUAAAAUAUAUGGCUUGAAAGCUGGACCCAA